rnacentral:lncRNA from 1 species
AUGGAUAUGUAUCUCCCAUUAAACAAAAAAAUAAAAAUAUUACAUUUAUUUAUUUAUUUUUUAGAUCUUAAUAAAAUUGUUACGCCAUUUUUUUUUUUAUAUUUAAGUAAAAAGACGAGUAGUACAUUACAUAAAAAAAAGUUUUUACAAUUAUGUAAUACAGAUAAUAUUUCUGAAUAUUUUUCUUACGUAUAUGAACAUAAACGAUCAUAUUAUGAUAUAUUAUAUGAUUUUUAUGCUUAUAUAAAUAUAGAUACCCAUUUUUUAAUCAAUACAUUACCAAUGAUUAUGGAAAGAAAAUAUUCCAUAAUAAACACACCACAUUGUUACAAGUUUUUACAAAAUUUUAAUUUUUUUAAUUUGUAUUAUUUUUGUAUGAAUCCUGUUUUUUCUUCUCUUAUUACUACUUUAAAAAUAAAUUAUGGAUAUAUACAGGCAACAUUUGGAAGUUUUUUUUUUUUUCUUAAAUAUCAGUUAGUCUUAUCCCAUAUAAUAAAACGUACAAAAAAAUUUAUUAAUAUGUUAUUACUUAAACAAUUAGAACAAAAAAAAAAAUGUACUAUUAUUGAACUGUUGGUAUGUUUAUAUGAAAACGAAAUAAAUGCAAACAAAAAAAUAAAAGGUCUUUGUUCUAAUUAUUUAAUCGAUUCAAAGCCAGGUAAUUUUAUUUAUGGAAAAAUUGAAAAAAGUUUAAUAGAUUUGAAUAAAAAUAUAUACAAUUUGGAUUAUACAAUUGUUUAUAUAUCUAUUGGAGCAGCAUUUAGUAGUCUAAUAGCUAUUAUUCGAUAUAGACAUUAUUUAUAUAAUGAACGAAAAAAAAAAAAAUGUAAAAACAAAAACAAUAAAUCAUUAUCGUACGAUAACUUACUAAACAAAGAUUUAGUUUUUCUCGGAUUCAGAAAUCAAAAAAACAAUUUUUAUUUCAAACAAGAACUAAAAAAAUAUUUAUAUUUUAAUUAUAUAUUUGUUGCAUUUUCGAGGCAAACAGAAGAUAAUUUUUGUUUUUACAAUAGGCAUGUGUUACAUUAUAAACAGGGGAUAAAUAGUUAUGAUUCUUGUAUACGUUCGAAUGAGCAAUCGAACGAAUAUGCAAGUGAGCAACUAAAAGAAGGAACUGGUGAAAAGACGGACGAACAAGCGGGUGAAAAGACGGACGAACAAGCGGGUGAAAAGACGAACGAACAAGCGGGUGAAAAGAUGGACGAAGAAAAUAUUUAUAAUUUAAAUUACAACGAAAUAAUACAAGCUGUGAAGAAAAAAAAAAAACUAUACAUAACUGACAUAAUUCUAUUACUACGUGAUACCAUUUACGAAUUAUUAAAAAAAAAAAAAAACACAAUAUUUUUAAUUGCGGGAAAAUCACGUCCCUUUUCACAAAAUGUAAUAAAAUUGUUUGCUGACAUUAUUAAACAAAAAGAACAAAAUCAAACAAUUGAAGAAAUUAAUAUUUUUUUAAAAAAAAAAAUGACUGAUAAUACAAUUAUGUUUGAAUCAUGGUAUUAA